AGAGUUUGAUCCUGGCUCAGGAUGAACGCUGGCGGUCUGCUUAACACAUGCAAGUCGAACGCAAGUAGCAAUACUUGAGUGGCGGACGGGUGAGUAACGCGUGAGAAUCUGCCUUUUGGUCGGGGACAACCACUGGAAACGGUGGCUAAUACCGGAUAUGCCUAACGGUGAAAGAUUAAUUGCCAGAAGAGGAGCUCGCGUCUGAUUAGCUAGUUGGUGAGGUAAGAGCUCACCAAGGCAUCGAUCAGUAGCUGGUCUGAGAGGAUGAUCAGCCACACUGGGACUGAGACACGGCCCAGACUCCUACGGGAGGCAGCAGUGGGGAAUUUUCCGCAAUGGGCGAAAGCCUGACGGAGCAAGACCGCGUGAGGGAGGAAGGCUCUUGGGUUGUAAACCUCUUUUGUCAGGGAAGAACACAAUGACGGUACCUGAAGAAUCAGCAUCGGCUAACUCCGUGCCAGCAGCCGCGGUAAUACGGGGGAUGCAAGCGUUAUCCGGAAUUAUUGGGCGUAAAGCGUCCGCAGGUGGCUAAUCAAGUCUGCUGUCAAAGGUUGGGGCUUAACCCCAAAAAGGCAGUGGAAACUGAGAAGCUAGAGUGCAGUAGGGGUAGAGGGAAUUCCCGGUGUAGCGGUGAAAUGCGUAGAGAUCGGGAAGAACAUCGGUGGCGAAAGCGCUCUACUGGACUGCAACUGACACUCAGGGACGAAAGCUAGGGGAGCGAAUGGGAUUAGAUACCCUAGUAGUCC
rnacentral:rRNA from 1 species